CGACGCCUCUAGUUUUUACUACCCAACUGUUUUGAUUGAAUUCAUGACACCAGCCAGUCCAAGGCCAGGCCGGCAGACAAGCAAUUAUCAACUCAAGAAGCCAGCCGUCAGCGAUUCUGCAUUAUUAAUUGUGAGUGUGUGUGUGUGUGUGUGUUUAUUCACUUUAAGUUUUGUUUAUUUAAUCAUAUAGUAGUAUCUGAUAGUGUGGCAAAAAAAAAAAAAAAAGAAAGAAGAGCGUACCUGAAAAUCCUUUUUUGCGAUCAUUCCAACGGUGCAGAAAACAGUGGCAAAAAGACACAUAACCAGCUGAAUUUCCAGCACCAAAGUGUAAGUAAUCGCCUGCUUUGC
rnacentral:lncRNA from 1 species